AAAAUUGUGAUUCCUAUUUUUUUUAUCUUUGGCUAAUGAAACCACAAUUUCAGGGGCUAGGGUAAACGACACAUUCUGUGACCCAAAUAGUGGAGAUAAUUGAGUGGAACAAGGACAGCCGUACCUACCGACAACGGUGGUGAUCCGAAUGGUUUUGGUGUAAUAGAGUUGGGGCAAUGGUUGGAAUCGAUAACAAGCCAAACGAACUGCUCAGUUUCUAUGACAGGUUCAAACGGAUUCGCAAACCGAACACAUGGGAAGAACAUGAACCGCACUAAAGACGACCGUAGAUGUGGAUGUGUAGUGUUUUGUGUCCAUAACUUAUGAUGGUUUGGAUGGCGUUGAUUGUUGGUGAUUGCGGUGGCAGAGAUAAGUGAUGAAAAGUUCGAGACUCGGAGCGUUAUCAUUGGGCUGCUACACAAGGGGUUAAUGAAGAAGUGCUAAUGGAGAAUUUGCCUGAAGACUUGCAAAGAGAUAUCUGCUGCCACCUCUUCAAAUUUGUCAAGAAAGUCCGGAUUUUGGCGUCAAUGGAUUGAACCGAUUUUAGAUGCGAUAUGUGAAAGAUUAAGGCAAAAGACAUAUAUAAAAGAAGGAACAACCUUAUAUGAAGGAGGGUUUGUGACAAAAAUGGUUUUUAUUGUAAGAGGGAAAAUGGAAAGCACAAGAGAAGAUGGGAAUGUGGUUACGUUAUCUGAAGGUGAUGUAUGUGGUGAAGAACUCCUCACAUGGUGCCUUGAACCUUCCUCUCUUAAUGGAGAUGCAAGGACACGGGGGAAGCCAGGAUGCAAAUUGGUGUGCAAGAGGACAGUGAAAUGCUUAUCAAAUGUGGAGGCAUGCGUGCUUUGCGCUGCAGAUCUUGAAGAAAUCACCACCCUUUUUGCUGGAUUUUUGAGGAAUCACCGCGUUCAAAUGGCAAUAAGGCAUGAAUCUCCAUUUGGUUAAGUUGGUUGUCCAUGAACCUUAGUCCGAUGACUCAUGUUGAUCUCAUAUAUUUUGGAGAGAAUGGGAUAGCCAACCACUGCACCCGGCAGCGACGCGAUUGAGCUACAACGGAUCUAUGGCAGCGGUUGAGGAGGGAAGGCAAAAUUCUAUCCUUUUCUAGGAACUGAAGUGUAGCACCCUCUACUAAUCAAGAAAGAGAUGAACUUCAGGAAUGUAUAAUGAUUCUGGAAGGCGUUCAAUUUAGGAGCGGGGAAGACAGUUGGAGCUGGUCGGGAGCUCGGAUGGCGCCUUUUCGGUUAAAUCCAUUCGAGCUCUCCUUGCUUGGCAGGGGCUACAAGUGGAUGUGAAUCCCUUUAUGUGGAACUAACUCUUACCCAAAAAGUGUUCGCCGUUGAUGGAGCUUUUAGGUUCAACCCUUUGUUCUCACCCGUUAAUUCAGUUUUUAUGCUUUGGACAUAAUGCUGGAUUUCUGUGUCAGCCGUCUUACAGUCGCGAAAGGCGUAGUUGAUUGGCUUCACGGGGUAAAU
rnacentral:lncRNA from 1 species